CUCUUUUACUUUGAAGAUUGAAAAGGCUUGUCAAAAGAAUUCAUUCUGUGGCACCUGUUCCCUCUGCCAGCCAGCACAGCUGUGCAUUAUGCAAUAGAAUGUGCAAAUCUGAGGCCGGGCUCAAGAGUCAUACAAGGGCCUCACAUCGCAUCGUCAAUGACUCAUUUCAGUGAUUCUUUCUAGCAAUGGCUUUGCUUGUAUAUGAGAAAGCAGUUUCUAUG